GUGCGGUUGAUAUGAUACAUGUGAAUUAAGGAGUAAUGUCACAAUCCAUGUUAUCAUCAAUUUUUAAUUUGACUACAUAAUUUUAUUGAAUUUAUAUUAUAAACAAUUAUAUAUUCAAGUUCCCACAUGUAAUUAAUAUACAACAUAUCGUCUCUGUACAAUAUUUAUUACUUCAUAAUAGGUUCUACUUGAUCAAAAAACGUUAGUUAACUGAAACAAAACUAUAAUGGGGAUAAACACGAUAUGGUCUACCGUUUUUACAUAAUUGUGUAUCGUUUACGGCAAUCAUAAAUACAUCGCGAUAUCACACGCACAUCUCAAUAUUAUACGGUUUCAAGAUAAAGGUAAGAUAUUUCUUUCAGUUCAGUGACAAAUGUGAGUGUGGAAAAAAAUGCUGCUUUUCGCCAUUUGAACGGCAGGCAUGUAGAAUAGGACACAAGUUUUAAUUUAUCGGAGAGGAAGAUUCGUGUUUUAAAUUGUUUAGGAAAAAAGGAUCCAGUUAGCAGAACCCUAAAAAUGGUUUUCUUCAUUUUCCAAAUGUCAGCAAUCACGCGGUCAUACACUGUGUACAGACAUCAUCGAAUUUCGGGAAAAUGGGCAACAGCCUGCUCAAGUGAUUAGAUGAAUGAUAACGAUG